UUCUCUGGACACCUUCUGCCUGAAUGGUUCGGUGCUCCCAGUCUUUGCUGAUUCAGCGCUGGCGGUAUGUCGACCUUCUGGACCCCAGUCUCCAAGCUGCUGUUCAUGCUUCUGUAGCAUGAAAGAGAUCGGGGCCAUCUUCUCCUCCAACAUCUCACAAGAUUUCAGGAGCUCCUUCACCAGGGCCUUGUAGGUAAUCGAGUCUGAGGAUCCUGCAGGCUGGACUGUGGGCCCAGCCUAGAUGCUUCUCCUCCCUUCUUCGGCAUUUCUGAACAGCGAAAACACAGAAAGUGGAGCGUACUUGAAAUCUUCUUUCGAAUGGCCGUGGAAAAUGAUUAAGAAGACGGAACAAUAUCUGAUGUGACAACAACCUGGGACGUACGGCACUGCUGAUGCUGCUCCUAUAACAAUCUGUUCAAGAUGUAGAUCAUUUGACUUUUUUUUUAACUGGCCUAUACUUCACUGGGGCUAUCUUGACAGUGGCUUUUAGUGGAGUACCACUGGAUAACGAUCCCAGUAAGUGAUGAUUCCGCAAAAUGAUCCCUGACACCCAUCUGAACAAUGGUGCUAAUAACUCUCAUUCAAUGUAAAUAUCAACACCACAAAUUUGGCCCAAUGAUCCAAUGGGCCAUCUAGUACCUUUAAAUUCAAUAUUUGCUGGUGACACUAAAAUUGAAUGGCAAAUAGAAUGUGUCAAAUGUUUUUCAUGUGGUGAUCUCCAUGUGCUGCCAACUCCUCCACCCACCCCCACUGCCCUAAUGUAGACAAUACUCAUACAUUGCAAGUCCCAGUCUUGUUUUAUUCAUAGAUCAAUAAAUAUUAUUGUCACAAAUAAAUUGCACAUGUAAACAAAC